rnacentral:rRNA from 1 species
GACGAACGCUGGCGGCGUGCCUAAUACAUGCAAGUUGAGCGCUUAAGGUUGGUACUUGUACCAACUGGAUGAGCAGCGAACGGGUGAGUAACGCGUGGGGAAUCUGCCUUUGAGCGGGGGACAACAUUUGGAAACGAAUGCUAAUACCGCAUAAAAACUUUAAACACAAGUUUUAAGUUUGAAAGAUGCAAUUGCAUCACUCAAAGAUGAUCCCGCGUUGUAUUAGCUAGUUGGUGAGGUAAAGGCUCACCAAGGCGAUGAUACAUAGCCGACCUGAGAGGGUGAUCGGCCACAUUGGGACUGAGACACGGCCCAAACUCCUACGGGAGGCAGCAGUAGGGAAUCUUCGGCAAUGGACGAAAGUCUGACCGAGCAACGCCGCGUGAGUGAAGAAGGUUUUCGGAUCGUAAAACUCUGUUGGUAGAGAAGAACGUUGGUGAGAGUGGAAAGCUCAUCAAGUGACGGUAACAACCCAGAAAGGGACGGCUAACUACGUG